UUCGGGGUACUCGAGUGGCGAACGGGUGAGUAACACGUGGGUGAUCUGCCCUGCACUGANUUGGGAUAAGCCUGGGAAACUGGGUCUAAUAGNCCGAAUAGGACCGCCGCUCUUCAUGGGGUGUGGUGGAAAGCUUUUGCGGUGUGGGAUGGGCCCGCGGCCUAUCAGCUUGUUGGUGGGGUAAUGGCCUACCAAGGCGACGACGGGUAGCCGGCCUGAGAGGGUGUCCGGCCACACUGGGACUGAGAUACGGCCCAGACUCCUACGGGAGGCAGCAGUGGGGAAUAUUGCACAAUGGGCGCAAGCCUGAUGCAGCGACGCCGCGUGAGGGAUGACGGCCUUCGGGUUGUAAACCUCUUUCAAUAGGGACGAAGCGCAAGUGACGGUACCUAUAGAAGAAGGACCGGCCAACUACGUGCCAGCAGCCGCGGUAAUACGUAGGGUCCGAGCGUUGUCCGGAAUUACUGGGCGUAAAGAGCUCGUAGGUGGUUUGUCGCGUUGUUCGUGAAAACUCACAGCUUAACUGUGGGCGUGCGGGCGAUACGGGCAGACUAGAGUACUGCAGGGGAGACUGGAAUUCCUGGUGUAGCGGUGGAAUGCGCAGAUAUCAGGAGGAACACCGGUGGCGAAGGCGGGUCUCUGGGCAGUAACUGACGCUGAGGAGCGAAAGCGUGGGGAGCGAACAGGAUUAGAUACCCUGGUAGUCCACGCCGUAAACGGUGGGUACUAGGUGUGGGUUUCCUUCCUUGGGAUCCGUGCCGUAGCUAACGCAUUAAGUACCCCGCCUGGGGAGUACGGCCGCAAGGCUAAAACUCAAAGGAAUUGACGGGGGCCCGCACAAGCGGCGGAGCAUGUGGAUUAAUUCGAUGCAACGCGAAGAACCUUACCUGGGUUUGACAUGCACAGGACGCCAGUAGAGAUAUUGGUUCCCUUGUGGCCUGUGUGCAGGUGGUGCAUGGCUGUCGUCAGCUCGUGUCGUGAGAUGUUGGGUUAAGUCCCGCAACGAGCGCAACCCUUGUCUCAUGUUGCCAGCACGUUAUGGUGGGGACUCGUGAGAGACUGCCGGGGUCAACUCGGAGGAAGGUGGGGAUGACGUCAAGUCAUCAUGCCCCUUAUGUCCAGGGCUUCACACAUGCUACAAUGGCCGGUACAAAGGGCUGCGAUGCCGUGAGGUGGAGCGAAUCCUUUCAAAGCCGGUCUCAGUUCGGAUCGGGGUCUGCAACUCGACCCCGUGAAGUCGGAGUCGCUAGUAAUCGCAGAUCAGCAACGCUGCGGUGAAUACGUUCCCGGGCCUUGUACACACCGCCCGUCACGUCAUGAAAGUCGGUAACACCCGAAGCC
rnacentral:rRNA from 2 species